AGAGAACUGGACCUCAGCAACAAUGACCUGGGAGACAGAGGAGUGGAGCUGCUCUGUGUUAGACUAACCCGUCCACUCUGCAACAUACAGACACUAGUUCUAGGUCAGUGUGGUCUGACAGAGGGUUGCUGUUCAGAUCUGGCCUCAGUCCUGAGUUCACCCAACUCACAACUGAAACAACUGGAGCUGAGAGACAAUGACCUGCAGGACUCAGGAGUUACACUGCUGUCUGCUGGACUGGAGGAUCCAGACUGUAAACUACACACACUGGGGCUGUCUGGCUGUCUGGUCACAGAGGAGGGCUGUGCUGCUCUGUCUUCAGCUCUGAGGUCAAACCCCUCC